AUCACAGCCUUUUAAAAAAGAAGAAAAACCUGGGAUAUGGAAGUGUUUAAACAUCAUUUUUGCAAUUGGAUGUCAUUUGAAAAUGAAGCAACAGCAGCAGCUAUUCUCAGCAGAACUGUUUUAACCCUCCCUCUGGGGGCUGAUGUAAAAUGAAAUAUGUGCUCUGCGUUUUUCAGCAUAGAUUUUAUGUAAUCAUAAAUUUUUCCACAUGAAUUGAAAGGCUGCAAAUUAGCUGGGAGAGCAGAUUCCUGGAUGUGUGAUCAGUAAAAAUACCAUAAACUCUGUAUUGACAUCUGUAUUGACCAGUGAAGAAAAUGGAGCUGUGAACUGGCUGAUCACUGGGACGUCCUUGGGGUUUAUCAACAUUUGGAGUUGAGGAAUACUUUUUCAGAAAGAAAAAGGGCAGAUGCAAACCUCUCAAGACUCACCUUCCCCACUGA